GGAAGCGUGCCAGAGCGGUUGAAUGGAUCAGUCUUGAAAACUGACGAGGAUGCAAGUCCUCCGUGAGUUCGAAUCUCACCGCUUCCGCCA
rnacentral:tRNA from 3 species